rnacentral:SRP_RNA from 1 species
UCAGAGUCGAGUACGGUAUUGCCAAUGUGAAACUGCAGUACAAGGACAGCGACGGCGACCCAAUCGAUCUUGAAAGCGACUCGGACCUGAGGUCGGCAAUCGAGCAGGCUAAAGCC